CAGACAGAUCCUUCAGCCUCAGGAAAGCUUCUUGAUGACGCGGUCCUGGCUGACAACCGGACUGCAACCUCAUGAGAUACCCUGAGCCAGAACCACCAGCUAAGCCACUUCUCAAGUCCUGACUCACAGUGCUGCAAGAUAAUAAACGUUUUGGAGUCAUUCGUAACACAGCAAGUGAUAAUGAAGAUACGUGGGUUGAGUGGGGCUUUGCCUAAUAUGCCCUAGUGCCUCCUGAAAGUGAAUGAGGCCAGCUGGGAUGACUAGGCACUGCUCAGAGAGCUGGGGGUUUCUGGCUGUUCCUUUGUUUGCCCGUGGUGGCCAGCAUGUUUGCAGUUGGGAGGAUUCUUCACCAGUCUAACACAUGCCUCAGUUUUCUAGGUGAGAAACCCAGACAAGGCUGGCACUGCACAGAGAUGGAACCUGAUGAAACGGCCCCAUUUGAGCGCCUGCUGUAUCGCGUUGGCUCUGCUUCCUGCAGCUGUGCUCCAAGAUGAGCCUUUCAGACAUCGCUCCCUAAUAGCUCCAUCUCCCCCAGUCCAGGAGGAUGCGCAUUCCUCUCCUCAUUCACAUGCACCACUUCAAGCCAUCUGCACGCUCUACAGGGGACUUGCCGCCUAACAUCCUAAUGUGCAACCCCAUCCAAAUCCUCUGCUGGAAUCUCACUAUUUGCACCACUUACGCUCCUGGAGCGUGAAACAGAAGGGCCAGUCCUCUUGUCUCUUUAUUCUAAGUGUUUAAUACAGAUUCCAUGGACUUGGUCCAUAACAAUAUGAGUGUGGUCUUACAUCAGUCCUUUUACUAAUUUCUCAUCAUCUCCCUCAUCCUUGUCCUUUAGUGAUUGUUCCAGACCUUCUCUUCUUAUCCUCAUACUCUCCUCUUUGGUAUAGUAGUGAGUAAAAGAAAGAAAGAAAAAAAAGGUCCUAGUGUGACUCAUAUCUUCAUGGUUUAUUUACUACCUGGAGGAUUUUUGAGGCUAUGAACAUUGUUUUAUUUUUUGCUGUAUCCCCAGCACCUAGCACAGAUAUGUGUGUGUAUCAGGGCCUGUAUGUAUAAGCUCUCCGAUGCUGCUAUAACAUGUAGUUCCCCAGUCAAAACUAAGUAUUAUUAAAGCAGCAUUUUGGACAGGGUUUAAAUUACCUGGCCCUUGACUUUGGGAAUUGGAAUUUUGUCUACUGCAGUCGCUUGGGGGACCUUCCAGUAGAGAUUUAUAAUUAAAAUGAUAUCAUCCAGUAAGGCUUUUACCACAGGGCUUCUAAAAACAAUAAAAGGAUUGUCUGAGGCAGAAUCUGCACUGUGGAAUGAGAAUUAUAUAUGGUUUACUAUAAAGUAAACUUAGG
rnacentral:lncRNA from 1 species